rnacentral:rRNA from 1 species
AACGAACGCUGGCGGCAGGCCUAACACAUGCAAGUCGAGCGGGCACUUCGGGGUGAGCGGCGGACGGGGGAGUAAGGCGGGGGAACGUGCCCUUUUCUACGGAAUAGCCUCGGGUAACUGAGCGUAAUACCGGAUACGCCCUUAGGGGGUAAGAUUUAUCGGGAUAGGAUCGGCCCGCAUUGGAUUAGGUGGUUGGUGGGGUAAUGGCCUACCAAGCCGACGAUCCAUAGCUGGUUUGAGAGGAUGAUCCGCCACACUGGGACUGAGACACGGCCCAGACUCCUACGGGAGGCAGCAGUGGGGAAUCUUAGACAAUGGGGGCAACCCUGAUCUCGCCAUGCCGGGUAAGUGAUGAAGGCCUUAGGGUUGUAAAGCUCUUUCAGCUGGGAAGAUAAUGACGGUACCAGCAGAAGAAGCCCCGGCUAACUCCGUG